rnacentral:rRNA from 1 species
GACGAACGCUGGCGGCGUGCUUAACACAUGCCAGUCGAACGGAAAGGCCCUGCUUUUGUGGGGUGCUCGAGUGGCGAACGGGUGAGUAACACGUGAGUAACCUGCCCUUGACUUUGGGAUAACUUCAGGAAACUGGGGCUAAUACCGGAUAGGAGCUCCUGUUGCAUGGUGGGGGUUGGAAAGUUUCGGCGGUUGGGGAUGGACUCGCGGCUUAUCAGCUUGUUGGUGGGGUAGUGGCUUACCAAGGCUUUGACGGGUAGCCGGCCUGAGAGGGUGACCGGCCACAUUGGGACUGAGGUACGGCCCAGACUCCUACGGGAGGCAGCGGGGGGGAAUAUUGCACAAUGGGCGGAAGCCUGAUGCAGCAACGCCGCGUGCGGGAUGACGGCCUUCGGGUUGUAAACCGCUUUCGCCUGUGACGAAGCGUGAGUGACGGUAAUGGGUAAAGAAGCACCGGCUAACUACGUG